rnacentral:rRNA from 1 species
CGGCGUGCCUAAUACAUAGCAAGUCGAACGAAGCACCUCGGUGCUAGUGGCGAACGGGUGAGUAACACGUGGGUAACCGUGCCCUCAAGACGAGGAUAACCGUUGGAAACGAUGGCUAAGACUGGAUAGGAAUACGGGAGGCAUCUUCUGUAUUUUAAAAGACCUGGCAACAGGUAUGCUUGAGGAGGGGCCUGCGGCGCAUUAGUUAGUUGGUGAGGUGAUGGCUCACCAAGACGAUGAUGCGUAGCCGGACUGAGAGGUUGAACGGCCACAUUGGGACUGAGACACGGCCCAAACUCCUACGGGAGGCAGCAGUAGGGAAUCUUCCGCAAUGGACGAAAGUCUGACGGAGCAACGCCGCGUGAGUGAAGAAGGUUUUUUCCGGAUCGUAAAACUCUGUUGUCAGAGAAGAACAAGUUGGAGAGUAACUGCUCCAGCCUUGACGGUAUCUGACCAGAAAGCCACGGCUAACUACGUGCCAGCCGCAGC